GGGCCGAUAGUUCAGCAGGGAGAACAUCUGGUUCGCAAUCAGAAGGUCGGGGGUUCGAAUCCCCCUCGGUCCACCA
rnacentral:tRNA from 1 species